UGGGCCUAAAGCAUCCGUAGCCGGUUGCAUAAGUUUUCGGUUAAAUCUAUGCGCUUAACGUAUAGGCCGCCGAAAAUACUGUGCAGCUAGGGAGUGGGAGAGGUACACGGUACUCGAUAGGAAGGGGUAAAAUCCUUUGAUCUAUUGAUGACCACCUGUGGCGAAGGCGGUGUACCAGAACACGUUCGACGGUGAGGGAUGAAAGCUGGGGGAGCAAACCGGAUUAGAUACCCGGGUAGUCCCAGCUGUAAACGAUGCAGACUCGGUGAUGCAUUGGCUUGUGGCCAAUGCAGUGCCGCAGGGAAGCCGUUAAGUCUGCCGCCUGGGAAGUACGUACGCAAGUAUGAAACUUAAAGGAAUUGGCGGGGGAGCACA
rnacentral:rRNA from 2 species